AACUGGGCCCAACAUAGUUCGCGGGAGCAGUGGUUUUACACUCUCGUACGCAGACGAGACGCAGAAGAAGAACACAGAGAAGCAGCAAUCACUUCACUGAAAGGAGAGGCGGUGCAAUUCUUUACCAGCCAAACGCCGCCGUCAGCCACCAGUAGCCAUGAAGGUGCGUUCAUCUGUGAAGAAGAUGUGUGAGUUUUGUAAGACAGUUAAGCGUCGCGGGCGUGUUUUCGUGAUUUGCACAGCCAACCCCAAGCAUAAGCAAAGACAGGGCAUGUCGACAUUGGCGUAUGAAGGCACAGUGUCCUCCAUAUGUGCAGAGACUAGUGCCAAGCUGGAGAACAACUCCGGUCACAGAUUGCAUGCAGGUUUGGCCUCUCUGAUACCCCAAAAGCCAGAACCCUCUAUACCCUCUACGAUUCUCGGAUGGAGGAUGCGCCUGGCAUCCAUGCUGUCCAGAAACGCCAAUUAGCUUCAAAUUUUGAAACAGAACGACAGCAAACUUCAUUCAAAUUUUUUUCCGUGUUUUUAGGUUCUUUUCUUUGGUUGUUCUGUCAUGCAUAUUCAAAAUGUUAUAAGCUAUUCUAUUUUUCUCUCGGAUUUUAGCUUUUGAUCUGCUACUACAUAAGCAACUCCGUCUCUCCCUUGCCUUUCCGGUAUCGUGUAAACUGGCUGUGCUAGAGAUUUCAUUGGCAGCGACCUUUACGUGUUCGAUAUAUAUGAUUCCGGAAAUGGGAUGGCUCGAGUUGUAAAGAACGCCUUUUUUUUUCUGAUUUUUCUGGAAUUAGACCUUGUGAAAGUGAAACGUAGUUUUGAAUCU